CUCCUCUGACGUUAGCGGCGGACGGGUGAGUAACACGUGGAUAACCUACCUAUAAGACUGGGAUAACUUCGGGAAACCGGAGCUAAUACCGGAUAAUAUAUUGAACCGCAUGGUUCAAUAGUGAAAGACGGUUUUGCUGUCACUUAUAGAUGGAUCCGCGCCGCAUUAGCUAGUUGGUAAGGUAACGGCUUACCAAGGCAACGAUGCGUAGCCGACCUGAGAGGGUGAUCGGCCACACUGGAACUGAGACACGGUCCAGACUCCUACGGGAGGCAGCAGUAGGGAAUCUUCCGCAAUGGGCGAAAGCUUGACGGAGCAACGCCGCGUGAGUGAUGAAGGUCUUCGGAUCGUAAAACUCUGUUAUUAGGGAAGAACAAAUGUGUAAGUAACUAUGCACGUCUUGACGGUACCUAAUCAGAAAGCCACGGCUAACUACGUGCCAGCAGCCGCGGUAAUACGUAGGUGGCAAGCGUUAUCCGGAAUUAUUGGGCGUAAAGCGCGCGUAGUCGGUUUUUUAAGUCUGAUGUGAAAGCCCACGGCUCAACCGUGGAGGGUCAUUGGAAACUGGAAAACUUGAGUGCAGAAGAGGAAAGUGGAAUUCCAUGUGUAGCGGUGAAAUGCGCAGAGAUAUGGAGGAACACCAGUGGCGAAGGCGACUUUCUGGUCUGUAACUGACGCUGAUGUGCGAAAGCGUGGGGAUCAAACAGGAUUAGAUAUCCCUGGUAGUCCACGCC
rnacentral:rRNA from 1 species